CAUAGACAUAACAGAUGGAUACAUAAAAAAAUUAUUUUAUUUGACAGGAAAUUGAUGCAAAUAGGACAUGAGAAUAAUACUUCAUGAAUUGUAUUAAAACAUCUAAAUGAUAAUGACAAUUUGUAACUAUGUACACCCUGCAGAUAUCUUAUAUUUUCAAGUGUUACAAACAAUAGCAUGCAUUUUUGGAGGAUAAUAUAAUGUCAGCUGAAGCUGAAAGGAACCACUUAUAUGUUGGAGGUUAGGAGACUACCGAUUCACAGUAGUUUUCUAAUGUGCAUUCACAUGAAUCACAAGUAAACCGUGGAAAACUUGUCCAAUUUGCAUCACCAAACAUGAAUUGCAAUAUUCCUGAGGAAGAGUCGAAGAAUAGCUUUUUUCAGAGCAAUGCAUACAUAACAAAAGAUAAUAUACAUAAACUGUGUGAUGUAAAACACAACCAACAAAAUUUGUGUGUAGUUUAUAUAUAAGUUUAAGGCCUGAAGGAAGCGAGGUUGCUACUAUAAUAGACAUGUGUACAAUCAGCAAAUUUAAAUAUUGACCAUCAAAUAACUCAGAAAAAAGCAAUGGUUGUCAAUCCAAGAAUUAGUCAAGCAAACUUUGUUGAACUACAUAUCCCAAUUUCGGCAAAAAAGAAAACAAAAUGUCUUAGUAAGAUGUAUAUAUGAUCGUUAUUGAGAGAGAGAGGGGGGCGGAGGUACAUUAAUUCAUCUUGAUGAAGAAAUGAACAAACGAAGAAAGGGAGAAAACAAAUUCAGUGAGCACACCUUCGCUGGGAAAGUCAACCUGGACGCACACACAGAGAUCCAAAAGACUCGGAAUACAAUACCCAUACAUCAUGAGUACAUGGACCACGCGUAUCAGCAUUCCCAAAGAGAAUAGGUGUUGUACCAAAUCCCAUCUAACCAAAUUCGUAUAGAUUAGUCAACCUUGAAAGAGUACCUUACCUAGUCUAGGUCUGCUAAUUCAGUUCAUUAGGAAAUUAAGCGUACAGAGUAUGGACCACACCAUGCAAAAAUGUUUAAGCAGCACUCCAAUAUUUCUUUCUUUAGCCUGCCAACAAAGCUUGAUUAAGCUAGGUGCGGGCCGUCUUCCAAUCUUUCUAAAUCAGAGCAAUUAGAAAUAUGAAAAAUAGCAAUAAUGUUAACAAAAAAGGGAUAUGAAUGCCCGCUGUAGUUACUUGAAAAAUAUAAUGGCAUGUGCAUUAUGGAAUUUUGCUUGUAAUACUGAAACUUAUUUAUGAUCCAAACUGCAGUCUCGAGAAUUCCAGCCGAAAAAUAUAAUGGCAUGUGCAGGGUAGUCUGCAACUCUACAUCGUGCCAUAAGGGGAGAAGAUUUGAUUGGGAUAUAUAUGCAUGCUCAGAAACACAACUUGUUUAAUCAAUAUGUAGGAGAGGGGACGAAUUCGUACCCAGACAUGACGGCUUCGUAGUCGCGAGAGCUUCAGUCUAAGACAGUGACAAAGAACCCCCGCCUCUACGGAAGGAACAUGUGCCACUGCCUAUAAUCCAUCGACAUCGCCUCAUAGAUCCUCUCUGUGUUGACCGCUUUCUCCCACGUCUCGGUGGACGCACAUGUGAGCAAUGGAACUGGAGGUACCUAGAGGAGCCAUGGACUGGGAUUAGAGCAUUGUACUGACGUGAGAGGGAGGGAGAGAUCAUCUGUCCCCAACCACACCUCACAACCUUUCGACAACAUGUCGCUUCCCUCACCCGUAGGCGCUCAUACCAUGGGAGAGAGAUAUUGGGAAAGCAUGGGAGAUAAAGACGGGAAGGGGAAGAGACUGGGCAGGGAGAAGAAUGGUCGUGAGGUUGUUGACGGCAUGGACGGCCCGACGGAGAAGCACUCAAGAUUUUUUUAAUUUGAU
rnacentral:lncRNA from 1 species